UUGUUGAACUUGGAUCAGAAGAUGAUGUA
rnacentral:piRNA from 2 species